rnacentral:tRNA from 1 species
AGCCCCAUAGUCUAGCGGUCCAAGACACGGCCCUCUGGAGGCUGAGGCCCAGGUUCGAAUCCUGGUGGGGCUA